GGUAGGAUGGCUGAAAUAAGUGUAGGGUUGUAACCCCUUUUAUAAAGGUUAAAAUCCUUUUUUUACCAGG
rnacentral:tRNA from 1 species